rnacentral:lncRNA from 1 species
UUAGUAAAAGUUCUCCGAUAUGUUUGCUAUGCCAAAAUUAACUUUAAAAUACUUAUUGCUGAAUUAUAAUAAACAAACAGGAGACGUGUCAGUCCUUUUAAUUAUUUUAUGUUCUGGAUAUGAAUCAGUUAAAAAGAUUAGAUCCCAAUGCAUUGUAAUAGACACUAGACUUCAGCUACAAACCACACUUUAUAUACACGAUACACAAUCACACCAUUCCUCAUACACCAUUACAAUUUACCCCUUACAUCAUACACCAUCUAUUAUUGCACCAUAUGCAAUACACCAUUACACCAUACACGUUUUUUUUCGAAGUUUACACCAUCCAAAGG